AUUUUCUACCACCUUGAUUCAGUACCCAGUCUCAUCUGAUCUCAGAAGCUAAACAAGGUUAAGCAUGGUUGAUGCUUGAGUGGGAAAUU
rnacentral:rRNA from 1 species